rnacentral:tRNA from 1 species
GCCCCUGUGGCGGAAUUGGUAGACGCGCCAGACUCAAAAUCUGGUUCAGGUAACUGAGUGCGAGUUCGAGUCUCGCUGGGGGCACCA